rnacentral:rRNA from 1 species
UUGAACGCUGGCGGAAUGCUUUACACAUGCAAGUCGAACGGCAGCACGGACUUCGGUCUGGUGGCGAGUGGCGAACGGGUGAGUAACAUAUCGGAACGUAUCCAAUAAUGGGGGAUAACUAAUCGAAAGGUUGGCUAAUACCGCAUACGCCCUACGGGGGAAAGCUAGGGACCUUCGGGCCUGGCGUUAAUGGAGCGGCCGAUAUCUGAUUAGCUAGUUGGUGGGGUAAAGGCCCACCAAGGCGACGAUCAGUAGCUGGUCUGAGAGGACGACCAGCCACACUGGAACUGAGACACGGUCCAGACUCCUACGGGAGGCAGCAGUGGGGAAUUUUGGACAAUGGGCGCAAGCCUGAUCCAGCCAUUCCGCGUGAGUGAAGAAGGCCUUCGGGUUGUAAAGCUCUUUCGCAAGGGAAGAAAACUUAUCCUCUAACAUAGGAUGAGGUUGACGGUACCUUGAUAAGAAGCACCGGCUAACUACGUGCCAGCAGCCGCGGUAAUACGUAGGGUGCGAGCGUUAAUCGGAAUUACUGGGCGUAAAGCGUGCGCAGGCGGUUUUGUAAGUCAGAUGUGAAAUCCCCGAGCUCAACUUGGGAACUGCGUUUGAAACUACAAGACUAGAAUAUGUCAGAGGGGGGUAGAAUUCCACGUGUAGCAGUGAAAUGCGUAGAGAUGUGGAGGAAUACCAAUGGCGAAGGCAGCCCCCUGGGAUAAUAUUGACGCUCAUGCACGAAAGCGUGGGGAGCAAACAGGAUUAGAUACCCUGGUAGUCCACGCCCUAAACGAUGUCUACUAGUUGUUGGUGGAGUAAA